UAGCCGUAAACGAUACUCGCUAGGUGUCGGCCACGGUGCGACCGUUGUCGGUGCCGUAGGGAAGCCGUGAAGCGAGCCACCUGGGAAGUACGGCCGCAAGGCUGAAACUUAAAGGAAUUGGCGGGGGAGCACCACAACGGGUGGAGCUUGCGGCUUAAUUGGAUUCAACGCCGGAAAUCUUACCGGGACCGACAGCAACAUGAAGGCCAAGCUGAAGACUUUGCCGGAUUAGCUGAGAGGUGGUGCAUGGCGUAGUCGUGU
rnacentral:rRNA from 1 species